GAUGAACGCUGGCGGCGUGCUUAACACAUGCAAGUCGAGCGAUGAAGUUUCCUUCGGGAAACGGAUUAGCGGAGGACGGGUGAGUAACACGUGGGUAACCUGCCUCAUAGAGUGGAAUAGCCUUCCGAAAGGAAGAUUAAUACCACAUAGCGUUGAAAGAUGGCAUCAUCAUCCAACCAAAGGAGCAAUCCGCUAUGAGAUGGACCCGCGGCGCAUUAGCUAGUUGGUGGGGUAACGGCCUACCAAGGCGACGAUGCGUAGCCGACCCGAGAGGGUGAUCGGCCACAUUGGGACUGAGACACGGCCCAG
rnacentral:rRNA from 1 species